rnacentral:lncRNA from 1 species
AUCGGGUACUGAAAAUAACCGCUUUGCUUCAAGUUAGGAAUUGAAAAUAGGUCCAUUAAUCUUUUGGGCUACCAGGUGAUAAUUUGGUCAUUUCUGUUUUGGCCAAAAAGAAAAAAAGAAAAAAAUCAGAAAUGAUGCAAGACUGAACUAGUAAAAGUCCCUUGGCCUACCCACCACUUCUGUUUUUUUUCACAUUGUAGCAGCUCAGAGGCAGUCUUUCAAUCUAAAAUAAAUACUUUCGGGUCCUAUCAUCCCAGUAUCAAAAGACUCAGUCUGCUACAAGAUUCCUACUUUUUGUUUGCAACUUACUGUCUCCAAGGCAAGAAAAGUGGUGGACAAAAUGAGGAGGAGCCAUUUGUGUUCAAAGACCCUCUGGUCUAGUAGGUAAGAGAGGAUCUUCUACUGAUACAGGCUGGGGAUUGAGAAGGACUCGCAAGCCCUUCAAAGGACAAUGAAACACAAGAACGUACUAGUAGUGAUUAUAGAUUUAUUUUCAUCUGAGUACUUUUCUGUAUCUUUCAAAUUUUCUGUAGAAAGCAUAUAUAGAUUUUAUUUAAAAAUAUAAAAAAAAAACCAAUAGCAGGUACAGACUGCAAAAUGAAAAACAAAUGAAUAAAUAGGAAGGGAGAAACAAAGAUUUGAAGGUCUAUCUUUGCUUUAGACAGAGUUCUUCUUUCUCCAGUUUAAAACAGGAUCUUAACUUGUCAGAUGUAAUUUGAGAUAGCCAUCAUUUUUUCAUGCUAAAAAUGACUGUUUAGAUAAAUAUAUCUUUCCAAUUAUAGAACUUCAAAAAAAUUAAAUUUU